CACCAGUGCUGGGUAUGAAAUGAUCUGUAUGGAAUGGUCUGGGGCUGACACGGAAAGGGACCUUUAAAGCUCUCUGUGUCUGCUUUUACUGUUCUAAAUUCCCUCUUUUAGGUUACAAACGUUUGUGGCUUUCCUUGCUGCUCUUAAUCCUCACGUUCCAUUGCAGAUUUUGUGUGCCUUGAGCAGUGAGUGAGGUGGCUGUGACUCAGAGACUACAGGGAACAAAACUCUCCCUGUUCCCUGUUACUGUCUGUGCAUCCAUUGUUUUUCCCUGAGUGCCUGCAAGGUGCUUCUCCAAAGUUCAGCAGAUUCCAGGAUAGUUUUCCUGAAAGGUUGGUUUAGGGAAUCCAGCCAGUUGGGAUUCAAUUUGGAUGGAUCCCUAUGGAUUAUUUGGGCUUUCAUUAAAUGAAACACAUUAAAUGUGUGGGAUUGUUUGCUUUCAGCACUGUCACAUUGGACAAACUCAUCCUGCAGCAGGGAGGAGAAAAAUGCAGUUUUUCAUCUAUAGAACACAUCUUUGUGUUAAUUUGGAAGUUCCUUGAGGUGGGAAAGCAGUACUGGGGAAGGACAACAUGGGAUACAAUCUCCUUGAAGCAGGAAUGAGGCUGAAAGUAAUUCUGGUCUCUGCUGGACCUGGUGGGAAUCCCUUUGGAUCUCUGUGUCUCAGGUUUGACUCCAAAUGAGCAGAAUGAUGCUGCCAUUUGUAAUUUAAUAAUGAAAACUAGGGGGGUGGGAAUGUCAGAGGUGUUCUGGUGCAUCCUUUGGAGGAUUUUAGGCCUCCCCAUGACUCCCUCUGGGAAGUCAAUAUCUUGUUGUUGUUGUAGGAGGGAGCUUGUUUGGUUUGGGUUUUUUUGCAGUAGGGGACACACCAAAACAGAGCAUUCUCUAAAUGCAUCUCUCAGGUGCUGAGCAGAGAGCAAAAAUCACCUUCCUUGACCUCCUCACACACAAAAUCCAUGUCAUUGCCCUUGGGUUUUUUCCAGUUGGAGUGAACAGUCCCUUUUUUCUCCUUGUGUUUAUUCCUGUACAAUAAGGAGCACUGUCAUCGUGAGUCACAUUGGGGCUGCUGCACCAGCCUGGGACUUGAGAGCUUCCGAGAAAAACUGCUAAAAACUGGGGGGAAAUUGUUCCAGAGCUAAACUCUAAAAAGAGCAGCAAGCCUGGCAAUUGACUGUGUUAAUUUUCGUGCUGUUCUUGGUUUGGGUGUAUUUUUAGAUAAUCAUCUCAUUUUGCACAUGGAUCUUUGCCUGCUGUCAAAUGACCAAAAUAAUUGGGAAUGCUGAAUCUUGGCACUCAGCUUUGUGGAACUCCACUGGAAGGGGCUAUGGGAGUGCAAAACAACAACUGCUUCAAACUGGGAAGGUUUCCUUAGAGAAAGGCUGGAGGCAGCUGCAGCUCUCGUCUUGCUGCAGGUUUAUUUCCAGUGGUGUUGAGCAAUUCUGCCCUUCGGAGCGGUUUGUGAUUUCAUCUACCCAAACUGAGCAAUUCUGUCUCUCACCAGCACCACAAGUAUUGGAUCAGCAGUUCUUUGUUUAUAUUCCAUGGAGAGAUUUCUAAAUAUUGCAGGCUUUCAAAUGUAGUUUUUUCUCUAGCAAAAUAUUGCUGGUAUCUCAUAGAAGCAGAGCUGCAGAGCUCUGAAUGCUCAGGUGUUAGAGCCACUGGAGUGGCCCAUUCCAUGAGCUCACCCUGGACAGGUCAUUCCUCAAUUGCUGCUCCAACUCUCCUCCUUGUACUUGCUAUCGAUGGCCACAAAUUUAUUUUUUAAAGUGAAACAUUCUGGAUAUUCUGAUGAUAGAAGAUUCUGUUAAAUGCUGCAGCUUUUAAGAAAAAGUCCUGCAGUCCCAGUCUGAAAACAGUGCUGCACAUUCAUUUACUCAGAGCUUUGCAAACGCUCUAAGCCUCCUCCCAAUGACUCAAAAGGGGUGUUUUUGAGAAGGGCAACGUGGGUUUUUAUUUAUUUUUUUAUUGCAGCUGCAGCAAAUGAGACAGAAAUUCUCAGAAGUGCUUUGUGGCUGCUGAGGUGGGGAGCAGCCUCUCAGCAGCCCCUCGUGCCUUGUGCUGGCACACCUCAGUGUGAGUGGAGCACUGAGGGCAGUGAUUCUCAGCGAAAUCAAGCUGUAUUUUUAGAUCCAGGGCAGUAGAAGCAGACAUCAAACAGCAGCCUGGUGCUGGCACCUGGGGAGGUGGAUUUGAUUUGGCUGCUUGUCUAAAUCACAAAAACUCCCCAGGCACUGGUGCUGCAGCACCAACCAUAAACUGUGGGCUCAGGGCACGAGGAGAGCUGGAUGUGAGCCCUGCUCCAGUUAGAUUUGUGGAGCUACACCUUCACAGUUUGGGGUUUUUGUAACCAGAGCCCAUUGUUGUGUUCAGCUGCUAUAAUAAAUGGGCUCUGUGCAGUGAUGCUCUCCAACAAUGGGCUGUAGGAAAAGCCUCUCAUUUAUUCUGGAGAUGCAAAGGCAGAUUCUGGUCCUGGCUCUGGGUAUUUCUGGGCAGAUUCCAGCAGCUCAGAGUAGAAACACUCACCUGUGCAGAGGCUGCUGCAGAGCUCAGAGGGAAGGAGCCAGUGAGUGGUUGUGUAUUUUCUCUAAUUACAUUUCAAGAGCCCCAUACAGUGAGAUUUCUAAUGUUAAGCAGCAGGAAUUCCUUCCAGGGACACAGCAGGGAUACCCUAAGAAAUCUUCUCUACACAGAGAAGCAAAAUAAGAACCUGAAGGGAUAUUGAGACACAAACCUGUAAGAAGAGUUCUUAAAAACAGAGCCUGCUUCCUUGCCUGGGCUUGCAGCUCUGAGCCUUUUAAGAACUGAAAUUCACUUUUCCAGGGUUUGGUUGUUGUUUCACAAGGCUUCUGCUGCUGCCUCAGCAGAGGCACUGAGCAGCAAAUUGCUUUUGAUGCAUUCCAAGCAGAUUUUUCUGGCUGGUUGUCAGUGACAGUGAUGGCUUUGACGUGGGGCUGCUCUGCAGAAUUAAUCCGAGGACACCCAGCAGCUGUUCCAGGGUCAUUGUUCAGCCUGCCCCAGCCCUCCUCUGGGGGACACCCUUUAAUGAGGGGUUUAUCCAGUGCAGGACUCACAGUCCCUCAGCUCCUCCAUCGUGGCAGAUGCUGCCCUGUUCUGUGGCAAGGACUUUAGCACCUGGCCUGGGGUGCUCUAAUUUUGGCUGUGGAACCCCGUGUUCUGUAAGACACCGGAAUAAAUAUCCAAUAUUCCUCCUGAGCAGUUCCUUCUCUGGGCUUUCCAUGUGCCCUGGACCUCCAGCUGGCUGGAAUCACAGUUCCUGUUCUGACAGCAGGAAAUGUGUCAAGCAAGACAAGCAAGAGGAGAUUCUUGAGGAGUGUCUUGUGAGCAACUCCAUAGGAAUGAGGUGGAACUGAUUUUGAGAAAUAGGAUUUUGAGUGAUACCUGAGAUUCCUUCUGGGCUAAACAGUAAAGUUUCCCUUUUUUUAACGCCCCUGUUUUUUGCAGGCUCUAGGAUACAUUAGAGAACACUGGCUUAGUGAAGACAUUUCCUUUAAGCUGCCCCCUCCUCACCCUUCCUUUCCUCCCUGUGCCUUUGGGGUGAUCCCAUUGUUUUCCAUAAAGGGAAGUUUCUGUAUAGAAUAAAACAUCCUGUUACAUUUUCAGAGUUAAAGCUUGGAACAUUUGAGCAGUAGAUCUGUAUCUGCUGCAGUCAUUCAUUGCAAGAGCUGGUGAGAAGAACUUGAAUAAAAGCUGAAAUUAUAA